AGGAGCAACAGCCCCAGUGGCGGGGCCAGCUCUGGAGCCCUGGAGUCAGCCCCCGCAGUAACUCCGGAGCUCUCGGUCUGCAGGGCCUGGAGGCUCCGGGGCGGG
rnacentral:pre_miRNA from 1 species